rnacentral:tRNA from 1 species
UGGGUCGUAGCUCAGUGUUGGAGAGCAUUUGCCUGACAUGCACGUGGCCUUGGGUUCAAUCCCUAGCACCACAC